ensembl:ncRNA Y57G11C.1138 ncRNA
AAAUACAUUUUUUUUAUUACUUAAAACUUCUGAACUUUGGAAAAUCAACGCUUAUUGUAGCUGAGCAAGAAACUAAAAUUCUUUCCUCGAAAAUUUUAGUUAUAUUGCUUGGCAGCAACCGGCAUUAUUUGUGUUCCCACCAUCCCCACAAAAACAAUUAAAAUCCGUG